rnacentral:rRNA from 1 species
AACGAACGCUGGCGGCGUGCCUAACACAUGCAAGUCGAACGAAGUGGCGAACGGGUGAGUAACGCGUAGUCAACCUGCCCUUCAGAGGGGGACAACAGUUGGAAACGUCUGCUAAUACCGCAUACUGAAGGCGGGGAUGGCGUUGGAUUAGCUAGUUGGUGGGGUAACGGCCCACCAAGGCGACGAUCCGUAGCUGGUCUGAGAGGAUGACCAGCCACACUGGAACUGAGACACGGUCCAGACUCCUACGGGAGGCAGCAGUGGGGAAUAUUGGACAAUGGGCGAAAGCCUGAUCCAGCCAUGCCGCGUGUGUGAAGAAGGUCUUCGGAUUGUAAAGCACUUUAAGUUGGGAGGCGUUACCAACAGAAUAAGCACCGGCUAACUCCGUGCCAGCCGCCGCGGUAAUUC